UUUAGGAUGGGUGUUCUGGCUUGUGUUACCCAAGAUGGCAUUGAAUUUAAGAGAACAAAAAAAAAAUCCUGCAGAGAGGUGUUAAAAUAUGUCAGUACUGAAGGAGUAGAGGAGUUGAGGCAGAACUUUUCUAAGAAAGAGAAAGAGGUGAGACUUGGCCUGAACCUCAUAGAUAUGCAAAUUUUCUGUAGGUGGAGUUGGAAAGAAGUUCUUAAGAUGAGAAAACUCUACAGAAAAGCAAGAAAGCGGCUCUCGGGUGUUUGGGAGAUCUAUAUACAAAAAACGUUUUGAGGGCCAUGGGGACGACUCAGCAGAAAGAGAAGCAUUGUGACAUUGUGCUUGAUGGUACAGCUUUGGACUGGCAUGGAGUCAGAGCCCAUCAGUGACCCGAUGGCACCUCACAUGAUAGAGAAUGAAGAAAACAACUAUGAAACAGAAGAAGCCCACGGCCUCCAUGAGGGCAGAGCCCAGAAGGGCAGAGGAAAGGAGCCUCUGCUUGAGCUACGGUUCCUCACACAGCCAAUAAUCAAGCUCCCAAACACCGUUCCAGUGCCAGUCCCUGACCCAGCUGCACCAACUGUGUCAAUACCCCAGGAGACAACACUGGUCAGGAACCCCUGUCUGGCCCCCUGGAGGAGUCUGCCUUCUCAGAAGGGAAGCAGACACAGGCCUGAUUAGACUUGUGCUACAAAAUGGUCAGAACUGGAGAAAGGAGCAGA